GAUGAAGAACGCAGCGAAAUGCGAUAAGUAAUGUGAAUUGCAGAAUUCAGUGAAUCAUCGAAUCUUUGAACGCACAUUGCGCCCGGUAGUAUUCUGCCGGGCAUGCCUGUUCGAGCGUCAUUUCAACCAUCAAGCCCCAGCGCUUGUGUUGGGGGCCUGCGGCUGCCGCAGCCCCCUAAAAGCAGUGGCGGGCUCGCUAUCACACCGAGUGCAGUAGUUCAUCUUCUCUCCGGUCUUGUGAGGCGGGUUCCGGCCGUGAAACACCCCACUACAUUCAAGGUUGACCUCGGAUCAGGUAGGAAUACCCGCUGAACUUAAGCAUACAAUAAGCGGAGGA
rnacentral:misc_RNA from 1 species